rnacentral:rRNA from 1 species
UACGGAGGGUGCAAGCGUUAUCCGGAUUCACUGGGUUUAAAGGGUGCGUAGGUGGGCAGGUAAGUCAGUGGUGAAAUCUCCGGGCUUAACCCGGAAACUGCCAUUGAUACUAUCCUGUCUUGAAUACCGUGGAGGUGAGCGGAAUAUGUCAUGUAGCGGUGAAAUGGCUUAGAUAUGACAUAGAACAACCAAUUGCGAAGGCA